AAAGCAAUGUGGCUGCUACAGUAGUGAGAUUUUUGGAAAAGCAAAUGUGAGAGGUGUACAGAGAGUUGGAAGCAAAGAGGAGGAAAGUUGGAAAGGAAACACUUGAGGAAGGAAUGCAGUGUAUACCUAUACAGGUAACCUGCAAUUCGUUCCAAUCCGGAGUCUACAGUGAGCAGUACAAUAGGUGCAGUGAGUGUACCCAGGUGUGACCUUGAUGAAUUCUAAUGUAUUCAGUCAACCAGUGUGAAUAUAUGCAUAACUGGAGCAACAAAUCUGUGUUUAUUUCAGUCUGCUGGUAUGAGAAGAACUACAGGUCAGGGAUCACUCACAGCUUUUCCCAGAAACUGAGAAAGGUCAGGCAAGGGACUUAGCGACUUCUUGUCUUAGCAAAACUGAAACAUUACUGAAAAUGACCUCAAGGACAGCCCAGUAUGUUAUAUAUAGCACAA